rnacentral:rRNA from 1 species
GACAGAGGGUGCAAACGUUGCUCGGAAUUACUGGGCGUAAAGCGCGUGUAGGCGGUUCCGCAAGUCAGGUGUGAAGACCGCCAGGGCUCAACCCUGGAAGUGCACUUGAUACUACGGAGCUUGAGUACUGAAGAGGAGAGCGGAAUUCCCGGUGUAGAGGUGAAAUUCGUAGAUAUCGGGAGGAACACCAGUGGCGAAGGCGGCUCACUGGCCCGAUACUGACGCUGAGGUGCGAAAGCGUGGGGAGCAAACAGGG